CAAAUCCUACGGGGGGCAGCAGUGGGGAAUAUUGCACAAUGGGGGAAACCCUGAUGCAGCGACGCCGCGUGAAGGAAGAAGUAUUUCGGUAUGUAAAGCCCUAUCAGCAGGGAAGAAGAAAUGACGGUACCUGAGUAAGAAGCACCGGCUAAAUACGUGCCAGCAGCCGCGGUAAUACGUAUGGUGCAAGCGUUAUCCGGAUUUACUGGGUGUAAAGGGAGCGCAGGCGGCACGGCAAGCCUGAUGUGAAAGCCCGCGGCCCAACCGCGGG
rnacentral:rRNA from 1 species